UUUAAGUACAGUUAUAAGUUUUCGUGUCCAACGUUUGACUGUUCGUUUUAUUUUUUUAUGAUUACUAUUUUUAUUGUUAUUAGAUGCUAAAAACUAUUUUUAUUGUUAUUAGAUGAUAGAACAUAAAUAGUACUUUAUGCAUGACUUAUUUUUUUAAUUUUUUAUAAGUUUUUCAAAUAAGACGGACGAUCAACGUUACGUUGGACACGGAAUACAUAGCUACACUUAAA
rfam:Oryza sativa (indica cultivar-group) chromosome 8, whole genome shotgun sequence.